UACGUAGGGGGCGAGCGUUGUCCGGAUUUAUUGGGCGUAAAGAGCUCGUAGGCGGUUGGGCAAGUCACGUGUGAAAUCUCCACGCUCAACGUGGAGGCGCCACGUGAGACUGCCCUGACUCGAGUCCGGUAGGGGAGCGUGGAAUUCCCGGUGUAGCGGUGAAAUGCGCAGAGAUCGGGAGGAACACCCGUAGCGAAGGCGGCGCUCUGGGCCGGUACUGACGCUGAGGAGCGAAAGCGUGGGGAGCAAA
rnacentral:rRNA from 1 species